UGGGCGGCUCGGUGGGGUGGAUGAACACCACGGCGCUUCGGGCGUCGAGUUCCGCCCACAGCGGCUCGAAGUCCUUGUCGCCCAG
rnacentral:tRNA from 1 species